AGAUGAACAUCAGGAAGGAACAUUAGGAACAUCCACAGUGUUCCAUCCAGGAACCUUCACCGUGGAAACCCUUGUGCUCAUGGGUGUGGUCUCAAGACACAGUCAGCUGUUGGGGAUCAGAGGCCACACUCAUCGUAGCAGAGAGGCAGGACCAACUGGGAGAGGGUCCUUCUGUGACACCUACUGCAUCACCGGGCUGUGUGAAGUGACUCAGCUGCCAGAACUCACACAAUAUCAUUCUACACCAAAACCUCACGGGAAAAAUGCUCCACGACCCUCAGGCUUAAACAGCAGUACUGGCCCCUCCCCAGAUCUCCAGCUCCCUGACCCUCAAACUCCAACUGCAGCACCAGCUCCGCCCCGGGUCUCCAGCUCCACAAUCCUCAAACUACAACAGCAGCACCAGCUCCCCUGUGGAACUCCAGCUCAAUGACUCUCAGACUUGGGAGGUGGCACCGGCUCCCCACCAAGCCUCCAGCUCCACAACCUUCAAACUAGAACAGCAGCACCGGCUACCCUCUGGGUCUCCAGCUCCCUCAAAAUUCAACUAUAGCACUGGCUCUCCCCUGAGCCAUCAGCUCCACAACCCUCAACUUACACAGUGGUAGCACCAGCUCCUCCCUAGGUCUCCAGCUACACGACCGUCAAACUUGAACUGCAACACCAGCUCCUCUUCGGCCUCCAGCUCCACAAUCCUCCAACAACAACAGCAACACCGGCUCCUCCCUGAAUCUCCAGCUCAACAACCCUCAGACUUGAGAGGUAGCACCGACACCUUCCCCAAGGCUCCAGCUCCAUGACCCUCAGAUUUGAACAGCGGUAGCACCAGCUCCUGUCCAGGUCUCCAGCUUCACGAUCCUUAAACUAGAACAGCAGCACCGCCGCCUCCCUGGGUUUCCAGCUCCAUGACCCUAAGACAUGAAUGAAAGAACCGGGUCACCCCAGGGCGCCAACUCCAAGACCCACAGAUUUGAACGGCAGCACUGGCUCUUCCGGCCAUCUCCAGCUCCACAGCCUUCAAACUAGAUCAGCAGCACCGGCUCCUCCCUGGGUCUCCAGCUACACAAUCCUCAGACAUGAACAAUAGCACCGGCUCCUCCUUGGGUCUCCAGCUUCACUACCCUCAGACUAGAACAGCAACACCGGUUCCUCCCUGGGUCUCCAGCUCUACAAUCCUCAGACAUAAACAGCAGCAGCACUGGCUCCUACCCUUGUCUCCACUUCCACGACCCUCAAACUACAACAGCAGUACCGGCCUCUCCCCAGGUCUCCAGAUCCAUGACCCUCAAAAUAGAAUGGCAUCAUCGGAUCCCUCCUGGGUCUCCAGCUCCCAAACCCUCAAACUUCAAUUGACACACCGGAUCCUCCCCACAGUUAAACAGCAGCACAGGCUGUUCCCAAAAGCUCCAGAUCCAUGAUCCUCUGACUUAAAUGGCGGUAGCACCGGCUCCUCUCCAGGUCUCCAGUUCCACAACCCUCAAACUACACAGCAGCACCGGCUCCUCCCCAGGUCCACAGCUCCACCACCCUCAUACUAGACACCAAGACUACCUCCUCCCCGCUCUCCAGCUACAUGACCCUCAGUCUUGAACAGCAGCAGCUCCUCUCUGUACCUCAAGCCCCAUGACCCUCAGACUUGAACAAGAACAACACCAUCUCCCCUCAGGGCUCCAGCUCGGGGACCCACAAAUUUAAACAGCAGCACCGGCUCUUCCUGUGAUCUCCAGCUCCACUAACCUCAAACUAGAAUAGCAGCACCGGCUCCUCCUUGGGUCUCCAGCUUCACUACCGUCAGGCUAGAACAGCAACACCGGUUCCUCCCUGGGUCUCCAGCUCAAUGACUCUCAGAUUUGAAAGGCAGCACCGGCUCCUCACAAAGUUUCUGGCUCCAAGGCCCUCAAACUAGAAUAGCAACACCGGUUCCUCCCUGGGUCUCCAGCUCAAUGACUCUCAGAUUUGAAAGGCAGCACCGGCUCCUCAC
rnacentral:lncRNA from 1 species